UGCGCAGGCGGGACUGCAAGUUGGAUGUGAAAUACCGGGGCUCAACCCCGGGGCUGCAUCCAAAACUGUAGUUCUUGAGUGAAGUAGAGGUAAGCGGAAUUCCGAGUGUAGCGGUGAAAUGCGUAGAUAUUCGGAGGAACACCAGUGGCGAAGGCGGCUUACUGGGCUUUAACUGACGCUGAGGCACGAAAGCAUGGGGAGCAAACA
rnacentral:rRNA from 1 species